AAGCGAACACCAACAGCAGUAAGGGCUCCUUUCCGCCCCAAAGGUCUAGAAUCUUUACCCCCUGGCCCUAGGUUGAGCUCGACCUAACAGCUGAGGACAGCGCCUAUUUAUUCUAGCGCUGUGUUACUUAUAGAAAGGAAAUAUGUGUGUCAAGGUCCUGUCCGUCCGUCUAAGUUCACGUAUACGUCCCGCAAUAGUGUUUGUGAGGAAAAGGGUACCUGCAGCACUGUCGGCUGACCAGUGCUUUUGAUAUAGAGCUUCCCACGAUGGACAGAGGAGGUGGAGGUGUAGCUUUAUGUUUUCGCGUUUGGCUUUUUGUUAUUUUGUGAUCAACUUUAGUGGUGUCUAUUGUCUUUGAUUUUCAAGUUUAGGAUUUUUAACUAUUGACUUUGAUUUGGUUUUUAGUUUUUUUUUUCUUUUCAGGUCUUUUAUUAUUACAUUGGUAUUUUCCUUUUUUUUUUCAGGUUCUUUGGCUUUGUUUCGAAACUUUUCCCUUUUCAGGUUCCUUUUUAUUUACUUUGAUAACAUUUCUUUUUUUUUCCAGAGUUUUCAUAGAUUUUCUUUUUCAGCUUUUAAUAACUUUCAGUUCGAUUUAUUUUAAUCACCUUUUUUUUUUCAUAAUCUUCUUUUUCAGCUCUUUAGUUUUUUUAUUUGUAUUUAUUUUCAUUUAUUUUGUUACAGCUUUUAAAACUUCUCAAUAAUUUAUAGUUAAUUUUUUUCCUCUUUCAGCAAAUGUGCUGAAAGUUCAAUAAAUCACUUUAAAACUUUGAA